rnacentral:rRNA from 1 species
UACGUAGGGUGCAAGCGUUGUCCGGAAUUAUUGGGCGUAAAGAGCUCGUAGGCGGUUUGUCGCGUCUGCUGUGAAAUCCCGGGGCUUAACCCCGGGCCUGCAGUGGAUACGGGCAGGCUGGAGGCAGGCAGGGGAGAACGGAAUUCCCGGUGUAGCGGUGAAAUGCGCAGAUAUCGGGAGGAACACCGGUGGCGAAGGCGGUUCUCUGGGCCUGUACUGACGCUGAGGAGCGAAAGCGUGGGGAGCGAACAGG